rnacentral:rRNA from 1 species
CCUACGGGGUGCUGCAGUGGGGAAUAUUGGACAAUGGGCGAAAGCCUGAUCCAGCCAUGCCGCGUGUGUGAAGAAGGCCUUCGGGUUGUAAAGCACUUUCAGUGGGGAAGAAAGCCUUGGGGCUAAUACCCUCGAGGAAGGACAUCACCCACAGAAGAAGCACCGGCUAACUCCGUGCCAGCAGCCGCGGUAAUACGGAGGGUGCGAGCGUUAAUCGGAAUUACUGGGCGUAAAGCGCGCGUAGGCGGUCUGAUAAGCCGGUUGUGAAAGCCCCGGGCUCAACCUGGGAACGGCAUCCGGAACUGUCAGGCUAGAGUGCAGGAGAGGAAGGUAGAAUUCCCGGUGUAGCGGUGAAAUGCGUAGAGAUCGGGUGGAAUACCAGUGGCGAAGGCGGCCUUCUGGACUGACACUGACGCUGAGGUGCGAAAGCGUGGGUAGCAAACAGGAUUAGAUACCCCGGUAGUC